CGUCUGAAAUCGAACUAUUAUUAUUUUUUGUUGUCAUGUAAUUCUCAUUGUUUACUUUGUUUUUACGUUGACAACAUGUACGUGAGUUUCCCUCGUCUGAACGGUAUCGUCAUUUCUGUUUUUUUUGUUGUUUUUACCUCCAGCGCUAUUAUCCAUGUGCAAAUAUUGCACUGCUUCGUUACCUAAACGAAAUGUCAGGCGUUGCACGUGGGCUUAGAAUGAGUAAACAUAUCCAGUAGUGGAGUUAAAAGUAACAGAUGUGUUCUGUUGGGUACUCUGCACAUAUCGUGAUGUUCAUGCCUGCAUGUUAAUGCAAAAACUCCAUGGAUAGCAGUCAUUUCCCAAUGCAACAAAAUAUUCACAGUCUGUAACAGAAGAUUUUUUUGUUGGACCUUCAAGAAAUUCUAACAAGAUGUGCUAUUUGCUAUCAAUAUUCCGCAAGAAUUGGAUCUCCCGUUUAUUUUUUCCGGUAAUUACCAUAUCUGUUCCACUAUCACCUUAAUUCUAAUGGCUAUCAAAUUAAGGGAAUGGUUUUGAAACAUUUGUGUCGCUUAUUAUGUGUGUUGUAUUGCUUUGAAGUGGUUACAGGUCGUACCUUAAAACUGAACUUUAAGAACUUUGAAAGGCCAUGUUAUGUUAAUUUACUAUAGUUUAUGUUUGAAACUACACAGAUCUUUUGUAACUUGUAAAGGAAAACAUAGUUCAUUUUUAAAAUUUUCGAAAUUUUAACUUUCAGUAUAACUUCUGGUUGGAAAAUGCCUAAUAACUCACUAUCUGUUGGUCUAAAUGAAAAAAGAACCACAUUUUCGUAAUCCUCGUGAAAUUUGGGGUCGAAUCCAUGUGUCAGGAGGAAAUACCCGAAAAUCUUCAAAAAUCGCAAAUUUCCCUGAACCAAAGAGAGUUCAGGAAAAAUCGCGAUUUUGGCCCAAUUGGACUUUUCGCCAAAAACAGGUCAAAAUAGGUCAGACACACCUUAAAUUUCACGAGAAUCACGAAAAUCAUAUUUGUUUUGUUGUGGGCCCAGUAUUUCUGGAGAUAUAGGCUACUUCCGGUCACUUCCGGUAUAUAUAUUUUUCAACUUGGCGAAAAGUAAAAAAUGAACAUGAAUAUUCCAAACAUUUUAAGCAUUUCGAUCAUAAAUGAAAUGGGGUGGCGGCUUUUUUCGUGUUUGUUUUGCUAUUUCACUAUUGGUUGAUUGCGCGAG